AUUGAACGCUGGCGGCAUGCUUUACACAUGCAAGUCGAACGGUAACAGGCCGCAAGGUGCUGACGAGUGGCGAACGGGUGAGUAAUGCAUCGGAACGUGCCCAGUCGUGGGGGAUAACGCAGCGAAAGCUGCGCUAAUACCGCAUACGAUCUAUGGAUGAAAGCGGGGGACCGUAAGGCCUCGCGCGAUUGGAGCGGCCGAUGUCAGAUUAGGUAGUUGGUGGGGUAAAGGAUCACCAAGCCAACGAUCUGUAGCUGGUCUGAGAGGACGACCAGCCCCACUGGGACUCAGACACGGCCCAGACUCCUACGGGAGGCAGCAGUGGGGAAUUUUGGACAAUGGGCGCAAGCCUGAUCCAGCAAUGCCGCGUGCAGGAAGAAGGCCUUCGGGUUGUAAACUGCUUUUGUACGGAACGAAACGGUCCUGGUUAAUACCUGGGGCUAAUGACGGUACCGUAAGAAUAAGCACCGGCUAACUACGUGCCAGCCGCCGCCGUAAUAC
rnacentral:rRNA from 1 species